AGAGUAGUUUGACUCCGUGGCUACAGAACGAACGCUGGCGGCAUGCCUAACACAUGCAAGUCGAACGAGACCUUCGGGUCUAGUGGCGCACGGGUGCGUAACGCGUGGGAAUCUGCCCUAGGGUGCGGAAUAACUCGGAGAAAUCCGUGCUAAUACCGCAUAAUGUCUUCGGACCAAAGAUUUAUCGCCCUGGGAUGAGCCCGCGUAGGAUUAGCUAGUUGGUGGGUAAAGGCCUACCAAGGCGACGAUCCUUAGCUGGUCUGAGAGGAUGAUCAGCCACACUGGGACUGAGACACGGCCCAGACUCCUACGGGAGGCAGCAGUGGGGAAUAUUGGACAAUGGGCGAAAGCCUGAUCCAGCAAUGCCGCGUGAGUGAUGAAGGCCCUAGGGUUGUAAAGCUCUUUUACCCGGGAUGAUAAUGACAGUACCGGGAGAAUAAGCUCCGGCUAACUCCGUG
rnacentral:rRNA from 1 species